AAAGAAGUUCCGGCCUUUUGAAGCAACAAUUGACAUGGCUGUACAUACAAGUUUCUUUCUUGGAUGUCUAUUAUCUGUUUUUCUGCUAGCUUUGAUUUCUCUUUUUGGUCAGUUGAAACGGUUAGUCUUGAUAGGUCGACCACUUAUAUUGUUUCGAAGGUUCAAUGAGCAUAUGGUAAAGAAAGGUAUCAAUAGAUUCACCAAUGUAGAUUACAAGAGUAAAGGUUUAUCUAAUGAGGCCUUGUCGCGGCGCUGCAAGUGUUGCCCCCCUCCUCCCCAAGGGCUAGGUGAAGGAGGGUGCAUGUGUGGUUCUUCUGCAGCUCGCAGCGAGGAUUCUUGUGUCCAACCUGCACAAGAAUGCCAAGAAGUCCUUCUCGGAGAUGAUUAAGGACAUGUACCUGCACUACAACGAGAGAUCUUGGCUGCUUUUUUGUGGCUUCCAAACUUGAAAUGUUUGUUUGGAAGUUAGUUUAGUUUUUUGUUGUGGAUUCACAGCUUCUCACAUGUACCGUCCUCUUAGACCUUUAGAUUUUCAAAGAAACUAAAUGAAGAUAUGGUGGUAUGGUCUCAAUAGUACAACUUAAAGCCUUCCAUGCUU